GAUGCUGUCGGCUUCCCUGGUGGUCUAGUGGUUAGGAUUCGGCGCUCUCACCGCCGCGGCCCGGGUUCGAUUCCCGGUC
rnacentral:tRNA from 1 species